UUUCGAAAGAAAGAUUAAUACCGGAUGGUAUAGUUUUCCCGCAUGGGAUGAUUAUUAAAGAAUUUCGGUUGUCGAUGGGGAUGCGUUCCAUUAGGCAGUUGGCGGGGUAACGGCCCACCAAACCUACGAUGGAUAGGGGUUCUGAGAGGAAGGUCCCCCACAUUGGAACUGAGACACGGUCCAAACUCCUACGGGAGGCAGCAGUGAGGAAUAUUGGUCAAUGGACGAGAGUCUGAACCAGCCAAGUAGCGUGAAGGAUGACUGCCCUAUGGGUUGUAAACUUCUUUUAUACGGGAAUAAAGUGAGCCACGUGUGGCUUUUUGUAUGUACCGUAUGAAUAAGGAUCGGCUAACUCCGUGCCAGCAGCCGCGGUAAUACGGAGGAUCCGAGCGUUAUCCGGAUUUAUUGGGUUUAAAGGGAGCGUAGGCGGGUUGUUAAGUCAGUUGUGAAAGUUUGCGGCUCAACCGUUAAAAUUGCAGUUGAUACUGGCGACCUUGAGUGCAACAGAGGUAGGCGGAAUUCGUGGUGUAGCGGU
rnacentral:rRNA from 1 species